CUACGGGUGCUGCAGUGGGGAAUAUUGGACAAUGGGCGAAAGCCUGAUCCAGCCAUGCCGCGUGUGUGAAGAAGGCCUUCGGGUUGUAAAGCACUUUCAGUGGGGAAGAAAGCCUUGGGGCUAAUACCCUCGAGGAAGGACAUCACCCACAGAAGAAGCACCGGCUAACUCCGUGCCAGCAGCCGCGGUAAUACGGAGGGUGCGAGCGUUAAUCGGAAUUACUGGGCGUAAAGCGCGCGUAGGCGGUCUGAUAAGCCGGUUGUGAAAGCCCCGGGCUCAACCUGGGAACGGCAUCCGGAACUGUCAGGCUAGAGUGCAGGAGAGGAAGGUAGAAUUCCCGGUGUAGCGGUGAAAUGCGUAGAGAUCGGGAGGAAUACCAGUGGCGAAGGCGGCCUUCUGGACUGACACUGACGCUGAGGUGCGAAAGCGUGGGUAGCAAACAGGAUUAGAUACCCUUGUAGUC
rnacentral:rRNA from 1 species